AGUGAGGAAUAUUGGGCAAUGGAGGCAACUCUGACCCAGCCAUGCCGCGUGCAGGAAGACUGCCCUAUGGGUUGUAAACUGCUUUUAUACAGGAAGAAACUUACCCACGUGUGGGUAAUUGACGGUACUGUAAGAAUAAGGACCGGCUAACUCCGUGCCAGCAGCCGCGGUAAUACGGAGGGUCCAAGCGUUAUCCGGAAUCAUUGGGUUUAAAGGGUCCGUAGGCGGGCGAUUAAGUCAGAGGUGAAAUCCCACAGCUUAACUGUGGAACUGCCUUUGAUACUGGUCGUCUUGAGUUAUAGUGAAGUAGAUAGAAUAUGUAGUGUAGCGGUGAAAUGCAUAGAUAUUACGUAGAAUACCGAUUGCGAAGGCAGUCUACUAACUGUCAACUGACGCUAAGGGACGAAAGCGUGGGGAGCGAACAGGAUUAGAUACCCUGGUAGUCCACGCCGUAAACGAUGGUCACUAGUUGUUGGGGCGUUUGCCUCAGUGAUUAAGCGAAAGUGAUAAGUGACCCACCUGGGGAGUACGAUCGCAAGAUUG
rnacentral:rRNA from 1 species